AUAUAGUACAGUAACUACUACUGCAGAGAGUCCAUCCUGGAUGGGUGAGGAGGAGUUGUCAUGUAGAAUAUAGUACAGUAACUACUACUGUAGAGAGUCCAUCCUGGAUGGGUGAGGAGGAGUUGUCAUGUAGAAUAUAGUACAGUAACUACUACUGCAGAGAGUCCAUCCUGGACAGGUGAGUUGUCAUGUAGAAUAUAGUACAGUAACUACUACUGCAGAGAGUCCAUCCUGGACAGGUGAGUUGUCAUGUAGAAUAUAGUACAGUAACUACUACUGCAGAGAGUCCAUCCUGGAUGGGUGAGGAGGAGUUGUCAUGUAGAAUAUAGUACAGUAACUACUACUGCAGAGAGUCCAUCCUGGACAGGUGAGUUGUCAUGUAGAAUAUAGUACAGUAACUACUACUGUAGAGAGUCCAUCCUGGAUGGGUGAGGAGGAGUUGUCAUGUAGAAUAUAGUACAGUAACUACUACUGUAGAGAGUCCAUCCUGGAUGGGUGAGGAGGAGUUGUCAUGUAGAAUAUAGUACAGUAACUACUACUGUAGAGAGUCCAUCCUGGAUGGGUGAGGAGGAGUUGUCAUGUAGAAUAUAGUACAGUAACUACUACUGCAGAGAGUCCAUCCUGGACAGGUGAGUUGUCAUGUAGAAUAUAGUACAGUAACUACUACUGUAGAGAGUCCAUCCUGGACAGGUGAGGAGGAGUUGUCAUGUAGAAUAUAGUACAGUAACUACUACUGCAGAGAGUCCAUCCUGGAUGGGUGAGGAGGAGUUGUCAUGUAGAAUAUAGUACAGUAACUACUACUGCAGAGAGUCCAUCCUGGACAGGUGAGUUGUCAUGUAGAAUAUAGUACAGUAACUACUACUGCAGAGAGUCCAUCCUGGACAGGUGAGUUGUCAUGUAGAAUAUAGUACAGUAACUACUACUGCAGAGAGUCCAUCCUGGACAGGUGAGGAGGAGUUGUCAUGUAGAAUAUAGUACAGUAACUACUACUGCAGAGAGUCCAUCCUGGACAGGUGAGGAGGAGUUGUCAUGUAGAAUAUAGUACAGUAACUACUACUGCAGAGAGUCCAUCCUGGAUGGGUGAGGAGGAGUUGUCAUGUAGAAUAUAGUACAGUAACUACUCCUGCAGAGAGUCCAUCCUGGACAGGUGAGUUGUCAUGGUAACAUUAACAACUGUUCGUUCUCUACUUAGACAUGAAAUAAUCUUCCUCUAUGGAAUCACAAAUAUGUCCCCAAGCAGAUCAGAAUGUUUUUUAUAAUGUUUAGUUUGUGAUAGUUGUCACAAAUGUAUUUCCCUUC